rnacentral:rRNA from 1 species
UUAAGCGACUAAGCGUACACGGUGGAUGCCCUGGCAGUCAGAGGCGAUGAAGGACGUGCUAAUCUGCGAUAAGCGUCGGUAAGGUGAUAUGAACCGUUAUAACCGGCGAUUUCCGAAUGGGGAAACCCAGUGUGUUUCGACACACUAUCAUUAACUGAAUCCAUAGGUUAAUGAGGCGAACCGGGGGAACUGAAACAUCUAAGUACCCCGAGGAAAAGAAAUCAACCGAGAUUCCCCCAGUAGCGGCGAGCGAACGGGGAGGAGCCCAGAGCCUGAAUCAGUGUGUGUGUUAGUGGAAGCGUCUGGAAAGGCGCGCGAUACAGGGUGACAGCCCCGUACACAAAAAUGCACAUAUUGUGAGCUCGAUGAGUAGGGCGGGACACGUGGUAUCCUGUCUGAAUAUGGGGGGACCAUCCUCCAAGGCUAAAUACUCCUGACUGACCGAUAGUGAACCAGUACCGUGAGGGAAAGGCGAAAAGAACCCCGGCGAGGGGAGUGAAAAAGAACCUGAAACCGUGUACGUACAAGCAGUGGGAGCACGCUUAGGCGUGUGACUGCGUACCUUUUGUAUAAUGGGUCAGCGACUUAUAUUCUGUAGCAAGGUUAACCGAAUAGGGGAGCCGAAGGGAAACCGAGUCUUAACUGGGCGUUAAGUUGCAGGGUAUAGACCCGAAACCCGGUGAUCUAGCCAUGGGCAGGUUGAAGGUUGGGUAACACUAACUGGAGGACCGAACCGACUAAUGUUGAAAAAUUAGCGGAUGACUUGUGGCUGGGGGUGAAAGGCCAAUCAAACCGGGAGAUAGCUGGUUCUCCCCGAAAGCUAUUUAGGUAGCGCCUCGUGAAUUCAUCUCCGGGGGUAGAGCACUGUUUCGGCAAGGGGGUCAUCCCGACUUACCAACCCGAUGCAAACUGCGAAUACCGGAGAAUGUUAUCACGGGAGACACACGGCGGGUGCUAACGUCCGUCGUGAAGAGGGAAACAACCCAGACCGCCAGCUAAGGUCCCAAAGUCAUGGUUAAGUGGGAAACGAUGUGGGAAGGCCCAGACAGCCAGGAUGUUGGCUUAGAAGCAGCCAUCAUUUAAAGAAAGCGUAAUAGCUCACUGGUCGAGUCGGCCUGCGCGGAAGAUGUAACGGGGCUAAACCAUGCACCGAAGCUGCGGCAGCGACGCUUAUGCGUUGUUGGGUAGGGGAGCGUUCUGUAAGCCUGCGAAGGUGUGCUGUGAGGCAUGCUGGAGGUAUCAGAAGUGCGAAUGCUGACAUAAGUAACGAUAAAGCGGGUGAAAAGCCCGCUCGCCGGAAGACCAAGGGUUCCUGUCCAACGUUAAUCGGGGCAGGGUGAGUCGACCCCUAAGGCGAGGCCGAAAGGCGUAGUCGAUGGGAAACAGGUUAAUAUUCCUGUACUUGGUGUUACUGCGAAGGGGGGACGGAGAAGGCUAUGUUGGCCGGGCGACGGUUGUCCCGGUUUAAGCGUGUAGGCUGGUUUUCCAGGCAAAUCCGGAAAAUCAAGGCUGAGGCGUGAUGACGAGGCACUACGGUGCUGAAGCAACAAAUGCCCUGCUUCCAGGAAAAGCCUCUAAGCAUCAGGUAACAUCAAAUCGUACCCCAAACCGACACAGGUGGUCAGGUAGAGAAUACCAAGGCGCUUGAGAGAACUCGGGUGAAGGAACUAGGCAAAAUGGUGCCGUAACUUCGGGAGAAGGCACGCUGAUAUGUAGGUGAAGUCCCUUGCGGAUGGAGCUGAAAUCAGUCGAAGAUACCAGCUGGCUGCAACUGUUUAUUAAAAACACAGCACUGUGCAAACACGAAAGUGGACGUAUACGGUGUGACGCCUGCCCGGUGCCGGAAGGUUAAUUGAUGGGGUCAGCGCAAGCGAAGCUCUUGAUCGAAGCCCCGGUAAACGGCGGCCGUAACUAUAACGGUCCUAAGGUAGCGAAAUUCCUUGUCGGGUAAGUUCCGACCUGCACGAAUGGCGUAAUGAUGGCCAGGCUGUCUCCACCCGAGACUCAGUGAAAUUGAACUCGCUGUGAAGAUGCAGUGUACCCGCGGCAAGACGGAAAGACCCCGUGAACCUUUACUAUAGCUUGACACUGAACAUUGAGCCUUGAUGUGUAGGAUAGGUGGGAGGCUUUGAAGUGUGGACGCCAGUCUGCAUGGAGCCGGCCUUGAAAUACCACCCUUUAAUGUUUGAUGUUCUAACGUGGACCCGUGAUCCGGGUUGCGGACAGUGUCUGGUGGGUAGUUUGACUGGGGCGGUCUCCUCCUAAAGAGUAACGGAGGAGCACGAAGGUUGGCUAAUCCUGGUCGGACAUCAGGAGGUUAGUGCAAUGGCAUAAGCCAGCUUGACUGCGAGCGUGACGGCGCGAGCAGGUGCGAAAGCAGGUCAUAGUGAUCCGGUGGUUCUGAAUGGAAGGGCCAUCGCUCAACGGAUAAAAGGUACUCCGGGGAUAACAGGCUGAUACCGCCCAAGAGUUCAUAUCGACGGCGGUGUUUGGCACCUCGAUGUCGGCUCAUCACAUCCUGGGGCUGAAGUAGGUCCCAAGGGUAUGGCUGUUCGCCAUUUAAAGUGGUACGCGAGCUGGGUUUAGAACGUCGUGAGACAGUUCGGUCCCUAUCUGCCGUGGGCG